UAUUUGUCAUAUAAAUCUGUUGGAAUCAAGUAAAUCUAACUGUUUUCAGAUUUUCAACAUUUUUUGUCUAUUCUAUUUUAUCCCCAACAGCAGGUCACCUUUCAUUUAACUCUUCAAAUUUCUUAACUUGUCCAUUGAUUUUCUGCAGUUUAUAAUCUCUGGUUUUUCAAUCUUUAGGAUGUUAGCCGAACACUCUUUCAUCUGUAGAUCCUCCAGAGCAGCACCUGCUCUUGAGGAGUAUGAACAUAAUGGAGAAGUUGAUUAUACACUUGGACUACAUGGAAAGGCAGCUUCAUGUGGAAAAUCUAUAGUUGGCUGAUUUCUUGUUAUAUGCCUCGAGGAUAUAAGGCCCUACACGGGAGUUGGAUGGCUUUGCCACUUGCCAGUGCCUCUCUUUCCACGUGGGAAGACCCCACCAGGUUUUAUGGGUUUGACCUAGAUGAGCAUCAUGUUUACACAAGGACAGAUAGAGGUGAUGGUCUUAGGGAGACUUUGUCCUGCCAACUCUUUGGCAAGACAUGCUAGAGGCUCGUUCUUGUGCUUGUAUAAAGCAUGGUGCUAUAUCACUAGAUGGCGGAAUUUUGAAAGAGAAUGGAUUUAUUUUUCUUGGGCAUUGGAAUCUGACAAUAUGUUUUCCGGUUGUUGGGUCGAUGAUAUGCUUCCAUCUUCCAAAAGUACAGAAAAAUUGAACCAAAUUGAAGAAAAGAAAGCGGAGUUAGGUAAGCUCAUGUACUUAAGAAAGAAACAUACUACAGCUCUUGAGAAAGCUUUGAAGAAGCUAAAUAAGAAAAAGGAAGAGUAUAAACAACAUAUGGUUGUAUCACACCAAAAUUGAGUGACUAUUACUUGGACUAUGGACAUCCAAAGGAAGAGCACAGUUCAGAAAUUUCUCCUCCUAGAUCAUCUAGUUCAUCCGUUUUACUUCUAUAAAAUAGUUGAAAAUUUAUAUAUUUUUGUGAAUAUCCAUAGCACCAUAGCAUAGGAGGGAAAAUGUACAUUUGUGAAUGCCAUAGAAAUGAUAAGAUUAACUUGGAAUAAUUUAAGAGUUUAUGCCAUAGAAAUCAUAGAUUAACUCCAAUCUCUUUCAAGAGUUUAUGCCAUAGAAAUUAUAGAUUAACCUCAACAACUUUAAGAGAUUACAGCAAAGUGGUAGGCAGUUUGCUGAUCAAUACAUCUUUUUCUUCUGUAUUUAACCUUAUAAUUACCUUUCUUUUAAUGCAAGCACAGAGUAUUUUGAAGAUUGAAUGUAGCAGUACAGUAGAUUUUGUUGGUAAAUAACUGGUUGUUUUGAUAUAUCUUGCAUCUAAGACUCUGGAUAUUUGCCGGCUUGAACUUGGCCUCUGCCUUUGGCCUAUCAAACCUUGGCAGUGGAUUCGGGAACAUUUAUGUUCAUUAGGAUACUGAGCUUCUGCAUUUUUAGUUCUAAAAGACUUUAUCAUAGUGUCAAUAUUUACCUUUUAACUAUAAUCACAAUUUUAUAAUAGUUAAUUUUAGUUCUAAAAUGAAUU